rnacentral:rRNA from 1 species
UACUCCCGCCGGCGACCGGCGCACGGGUGAGUAACACGUAUGAAACCUGCCCGUAGCAGGGGGAUAAGCGGAAGAAAUUCCGUCUAAUACCGCGUAACAACCCGAGGAGGCAUCUCCUCGGGUUUAAAGGAAGCGAUUCCGGCUACGGAUGGUCAUGCGUCGCAUUAGCUAGUUGGCGGGGUAACGGCCCACCAAGGCGACGAUGCGUAGGGGUUCUGAGAGGAGGGUCCCCCACACUGGUACUGAGACACGGACCAGACUCCUACGGAAGGCAGCAG